rnacentral:rRNA from 1 species
UCUACCUACGGGACGCAGCAGUGGGGAAUAUUGCGCAAUGGGCGAAAGCCUGACCCAGCAACGCCGCGUGAAGGAAGAAGGCUUUCGGGUUGUAAACUUCUUUUGACAGGGAAGAGCAGAAGACGGUACCUGUCGAAUAAGCCACGGCUAACUACGUGCCAGCAGCCGCGGUAAUACGUAGGUGGAAAGCGUUGUCCGGAUUUACUGGGUGUAAAGGGCGUGUAGCCGGGCUGACAAGUCAGAUGUGAAAUCCGGGGGCUCAACCCCCGAACUGCAUUUGAAAAUGUUGGUCUUG